AUUGUACCUUUUCAGUGAGUGAGGGAGAGAGAGGGAAACAGACAGAGAGACAGAAAGACAGAGAGAAGAAAAAUAAAAGUCUACUUUCUAAAUAAAUCUGAUUAGAAAAUACCCAUUCCAGAAAUAGACCACAAAUGCGAAUAGGGAAACAAUAAGAGUUGGUAAAGUUACCAUUUAAAUAUGUAUAAUUUUCUGAAAAUGAAAAACAGGUUCUCUUUCUAAGAAGACUCUCCUAAUGGAAUUUCUCUCCAUUACCCAUUACCAUUCUCCCCAUUCUUUCUUUCCUGAGCUCUCCAGAAAUUACUUGGAAUGCUGUAAAUAUUCUCGUUGCUCGGAUAUCCCAACACUUGACUGAUCAUCAGAAUCUCCCAAACUUAAAGCCACUUGAGAUGGCUAUCUGCAAAACUCUAUGGAUUUAUGACAACCAUCAACAUCAUCAUCAUCAUCAUCACCACUAUUGUAAUAGUAAAGUCCAAGAGGAAGCCUAAGACAGAUUGUGAAUCCAGAUCCCAAGACUGGAUCUAUGGGACAUCCAGUCAAGGUCAUGAUGCACAUAAAUUGGAUGUAAUCCUAUAUUAUUCAUCUAUUCAAUCUAGCUAAGUCAUUUCUACGGAGUGUUAAGAGAGAUAUUGGCCCUUCAAAGCAGGACAGUCUUAUACACACCAGUCUUAUCCUCUUGGACCUCAUGGUGUCAUAAGGAAAGAAGACAGCUUCUGGAGGACAGUGGAUGCUGCUAUCUGAACUGUGACAAAGAAGAAGGCUUGACACUACCCUGAUAGUGAGCUGUACUCCUCCCCUACCAACUCGGUAGACUCCCAGGGUGGCCUAUUGUAGUCUCAAAGGUCUAAAGCUCAUGUAAGCCUGAGAAGAUGCUUGAUGGAUGUUCUAGCCCUUUCCAGGAGCAGGCCAUAUGUGUCAGCAAGCCCUCAGAUCAUUCCAGUCCCACCAUCUGACUGCAAUCGUGGGAGACCCAAAAUGAGAACACACUGCAAGGUGCGUUAAUUAACCUCCAGAAUCAUAAGAGAUAAUGACAAAACUAUUGUUCUUUUAAGUCAUCACCUUUUAGGAUGAUUGGCUAGGCAGUAAGAGUUAACUAAUGCAAAAGUUGAAUAGUAUUUGACUCAUAAGUUUUAUGUGGAUUAAAUGAGAUGACGCAUAUAAAGUAUUCAAGAUAAAGGAGUGGUUCUCAAAUUUAAGUGUCCAAUAUUACCACCUGGAGGCUUAUUACAAAAUGGAUUCCAGGGCACCUGGGUGGCUCAGUUGGUUAAGUGUCUGACUUUAGAUUUCACCUCAGGUUGGUGAGAUAGAUCCAGUCCAGCACGGGGCUCUGUGCUGGGUGUAAAGACUGCUUAAGAUUGUCUCUCUUCCUCUCCCACUGUCCCUCCCUCCCUCUCUCUCUCUCUCUCUCUUUCUUGCUCUCUCUCUCUUGGAAAAAAAAAAAAAAGGAUUCCAGGGCCCCUCUCCCUGAAUUGCUGAUUUAGUAAGUCUAGAGUGAAGCCUGAGCACUUGCAUAUCUAACAUGUUCUAGCUGAUGCCGAUGCUACUGGUCCAGGAACCACAUUUUGCAAACAUAGCAUAGAGCAAACACUCAAUUUAUGAAUUUUAUUCUUACUACCAUUUUUAGUACUUACUGUUUUUAUUUCAUGAAAAUAAUUACGCACCGUCAGUUCCUUUGAGUACAAAGGAAAUUUAUGCCCAGUUUCUCUCCAUAACUCACCGUCUAGUUUAUCUUAUCUAGCCCUAGUGUUGAUCACAAUGGCUCUCAUGUCAAGCAUUUAACAACUGCUUGUUAGAGAAAAUAUGAACAGAUCUCACAUUGAAGGGAGAUAGUGUAAGAAAAAGAGCGAGAGAGAUAAAGGAAAAGAGAGGGAAGUGGGGUAGGGAGGGCUGCAGAGGAGAGGGUACAACAAGGGUGGGAGAAAAUGUCAUGCUUCUUGCUCUAAAACUUUUUUUCUUUAUACUAUGACAAGUUUUCACAAUGUCCUUUUCUAAUUUUAGGAUGUGCUCCUCAAGAUAGAAGCACAUUGUCUCCAAAUAACUCUUUCAUUUCUUCAGUUCCUUUAAAAUUGAAUGGUAAAAUUAUGAAACAACUCUAUAACAGAACUAAUAAAAAAGCUACCAUUAGACUAUUUUAUUUCACAGCUACUGCUUAGUCUGAUAAAAAAAAUGCAUCAAUUAUUUAGAUGUUUGAAAACUCUUUUUAGCUUGGAAUGCUGGUACACUGGCAUUCAUCUUAUUGACAAGAUACUGUGGAUAUGAAUGUAUAAAAAUAUAACUGGACAGAGUAAGACUUGAGGAUUCCCUGAAGGCCUCUGGUUUCCAGAGAGCCCAUGUUUUAAGGGUACUUACAAGGUUGGUCACAUCUAUGAAACCUAUCAAUAUUUCAAAGUACAUAUUUAUGUUUGGCUCCCUCCUUUCCUAUCCCAUCUAGAGGUAUGUCAUGAGAACAAAUGACACAAUCUCUAUAAGAACUCUCUAAACCUGCAGAACUCUACUUAUAAACACUUAAAGUAAUUAAUACCUGUUUCCUUAUUUCUAACAGCUUGUAUGUCAUAUUGAGAAUUCAAAUGCUAGUUUACAUACUAUAGAACUUAUGUAUGAUGUGUUGAGGGUAUCUAGGUCUCAUCAAUUCAUAAAUGCUUAAGGAAAAUCACAAAAGGAGAAAAUGUAGCCCUUGCCCUAAUGGAAGACACAAUUUUGAGAGAAACACAACAUCUGUAAAUGAGACAAGCUUUGCCUUUUUUAAACUGACAUGGGAUCAUGUUAUUUUCCUGCUAAAAGUCUUUUGUCUUUGUGAUACCACUUUUAGGAAAAAGCAGAAAGUUUGCAGAAUUAUUGGCAAAGCCCAAUGAUCUAGCUCAUCUUCCAUCUCUCCCUUUUUAAGUUUAUUUAUUUAUUUUGAGAGAGAGGGAAAGAGAGAAUUCCAAGCAGGUUCCAUGCUGUCAACAUAGAGCCCAAAGUGGGGCUCCAUCUCAUGAGCCGUGAGAUAAUGACCUGAGCUGACAGGGAGCGGGACACUCAACCCCCUGAGCCAUCCAGGUGCCCUCCUCUUUCCAUCUCUAGCCAGUCUCAAUUUUCUCAUGUCUUCCAUGUACACACAGUACUCCAGCCCCUUGGACUUGGCAGCCAUUCUAGCACUCACCAUUCCCUUUCACAUUACCAUGUUUUUGCACUCAUGGUUUCCUUUUCCUGGAAUAUAUCCACUAUUGGUGUUUAUACAGUGUCCAAUACAAAGUAAUCAUACCAUAGAAAGAAUUUCUAGAAUUAUCAAUUAAUACUGCCUCUACUAUGUUAUUUUAACUAUUGCCUAUGCCAAUAGACUGCAAGGUGAAUGCCGAAGUUUGUGCCAACCUCUCCUUUGUAUCACCCCACAAAUCCUGGUGGAAUUCCUAGUUAAUUA